rnacentral:rRNA from 1 species
UACAGAGGGUGCAAGCGUUAAUCGGAUUUACUGGGCGUAAAGCGUGCGUAGGCGGUUCGCUAAGUCGGUUGUGAAAUCCCUGGGCUUAACCUGGGAACUGCAGUCGAUACUGGCGGACUAGAAUGCGGUAGAGGGUGGCGGAACUCCUGGUGUAGCGGUGGAAUGCGCAGAUAUCAGGAAGAACACCGGUGGCGAAGGCGGGUCUCUGGGCCGAUACUGACGCUGAGGAGCGAAAGCGUGGGGAGCGAACAGG